UGAAGCUGAACAAUAAAAACUUGGUUAUUGUUGCCUAAAAUGUACAGUUUGAUUUUUCAAUUUACUGGAAUUCUAUGCUCAGUAAUCAGUAAUAUUUUGUAUGCUAGUGUGUGUGUGUGUGUGUGUGUGUGGGGAGGCGGGGGGGUUAACCUGGUUACAUUCCCCUGGCCUUCAA